rnacentral:rRNA from 1 species
UACGUAGGGGGCAAGCGUUGUCCGGAAUUAUUGGGCGUAAAGCGCGCGCAGGCGGUUUAUUAAGUCUGGUGUGAAAGCCCACGGCUCAACCGUGGAGGGCCAUUGGAAACUGGUAGACUUGAGUGCAGGAGAGGAGAGCGGAAUUCCUGGUGUAGCGGUGAAAUGCGUAGAUAUCAGGAGGAACACCCGUGGCGAAGGCGGCUCUCUGGCCUGUAACUGACGCUGAGGAGCGAAAGCGUGGGGAGCGAACAGG